AUGAGGCAAGUGGCGAGAGUGAUCGUGUUCCUGACCCUGAGUACUUUGAGCCUUGCUAAGACCACCCAGCCCAUCUCCAUGGACUCAUAUGAAGGACAAGAAGUGAACAUAACCUGUAGCCACAACAACAUUGCUACAAAUGAUUAUAUCACGUGGUACCAACAGUUUCCCAGCCAAGGACCACGAUUUAUUAUUCAAGGAUACAAGACAAAAGUUACAAACGAAGUGGCCUCCCUGUUUAUCCCUGCCGACAGAAAGUCCAGCACUCUGAGCCUGCCCCGGGUUUCCCUGAGCGACACUGCUGUGUACUACUGCCUCGUGGGUGACA